CCUACGGGAGGCAGCAGUGAGGAAUAUUGGUCAAUGGCCGGAAGGCUGAACCCGCCAAGCCGCGUGAAGGACGAAGGUGCCAAGUAUUGUAAACUUCUUUUGUCAAGGGACAAAAUCAGGCUCGAGAGCCUUGCUGAGGGUACUUGAAGAAAAAGCAUCGGCUAACUCCGUGCCAGCAGCCGCGGUAAUACGGGGGAUGCGAGCGUUAUCCGGAUUUAUUGGGUUUAAAGGGUGCGUAGGCGGACUGUUAAGUCAGCGGUAAAAGCCCGGGGCGCAACCCCGGCUAGCCGUUGAAACUGGGUGUCUGGAGAUGACGAGAGGUAGGCGGAAUGCGCAGUGUAGCGGGGAAAUGCUUAGAUAUUGCGCAGAACUCCGAUUGCGAAGGCAGCAUACCGGCGGCAAACUGACGCUGAGGCACGAAAGCGUGGGUAUCGAACAGGAUUAGAUACCCGAGUAGUC
rnacentral:rRNA from 1 species